rnacentral:misc_RNA from 1 species
GUGCUGCUGUUAUCUAGCUCACUUUAAAUAUAUAAGUUCUUCCUUAUGUUGUUGGAUUGACUUGGUGUAAUAUUUAACUUUGUUUUCAUCAAGGAAAGUAGCAAUACUUGCCAAUAUAUUAAGUAAGGACUCCUAAAAAACAACUUUUCAUUUUUUUAAGACCUCAAAUCAG